AGAUGUGAGCGUGAUCUGGCUGUGACAUCUGUCACCCCAUUGAUCAUCAGAGUUGAUUCAGCUGAUCUGGCUGGCUAGGCAGGUGUCGCCUUCCUCUCUCACCCCUCCAUGUCCCUCUCAAAGCUGCACACUCAGUCGAAGAGGAUGACCUUCCCCAGGUAGAGGAGGAACAGUCCUUGGUCACUUCCAAACAAGCUCUCAAUUUGGAGGAAAUAGCUUCACAGCAGAUGCAGUCUAUGCACUUAGGAUUAGGUCACUGUCUUUCAGU
rnacentral:snRNA from 1 species